ensembl:lncRNA
UAUGCUUCGAAAGUGUUACCAAAUUACCAAAUUGAUUGCUUUCAUAAUGAUGAAUUAAUGCAUGCACUAAUCCUAAUUGCAACAGAAAAUAAAUGCGUACAUUUAACAGUUUGGACAAUUUCAGACUCUUUGGUGUUUUUGUUUUGCAGCACUUCCAAUCCUGAAUGAAAUCUAAUUGUAUAAUUCUACAUAUAAAGGUCACCCCGGCACAAGUUUUACUCUGGAUGUUCUUCGUGACGCAACCCUCCCCAUUUUCCACACUUGAGACCAGCACUGAGAAUGGACUGUUAUGUGCAACCCUCCAGUGACUGGGGUCAAUUCUCUAACCAGGUAUCGAACCUGGACUGUGGUGAUGAGAGCGCCGCAUGGUAGCCACUAGCCCAUCAAGGAACUAAUUUGUGUAUCUUCUAAUAAAGGGCUUAUAUGAAUAUCAGUGAAUACUCAUUUCUACAUUCCCCUCAAAAAAGGACACCCAUUCAGAACCAGACCUUAUUGAGCUGUAUGGAGAAAUCAGCCUAUUUACUAUACAUUAAUUAAGACUUGGGGCCAUCACACCCACAUGUGGUUCUUCCCCAAACUGUUGAUACAAAAUUGGAAGCAGACAAUGGUCUAGAAUUUCUUUGUUUGCUGCCGCAUUACAAUUUCCCUUCAAUGGAACUAAUAGUUUGAACAUAUUCAAACAUGUUCAAGCAUGACUGACAUGAUUUCCCAAGGUUGAAGUGGCAGAACUCAAGUGUCCUGCACAGAUCCCUGACCUCAACCCCACUGAACACCUUUGGUAUGAAUUGGAAUGCCGACUGCAUCAAGGCAUCAGUGCCUGACCUCACUAAUGCUCUAGUGGCCAAAUCUGCA